rnacentral:tRNA from 1 species
GCGCGAUUAGCUCAGUGGCAGAGCGCUACAAUGACACUGUAGAGGUCGCAGGUUCAAUCCCUGCAUCGCGCA